UUACGGCCAUAUAGCGUUGAAACACCAGUUCCCAUACGGCCACCAAAGUUAAGCAACGUCGAGCUUGGUUAGUAUCUAGAUGGGUGACCGUUUGGGAAUACCAACUACUGUAA